rnacentral:rRNA from 1 species
AUUGAACGCUGGCGGCAUGCUUUACACAUGCAAGUCGAACGGCAGCGCGGGCUUCGGCCUGGCGGCGAGUGGCGAACGGGUGAGUAAUGCAUCGGAACGUGCCCAGUAGUGGGGGAUAGCCCGGCGAAAGCCGGAUUAAUACCGCAUACGACCUGAGGGUGAAAGCGGGGGACCGAAAGGCCUCGCGCUAUUGGAGCGGCCGAUGUCGGAUUAGCUAGUUGGUGGGGUAAAGGCUUACCAAGGCGACGAUCCGUAGCUGGUCUGAGAGGACGACCAGCCACACUGGGACUGAGACACGGCCCAGACUCCUACGGGAGGCAGCAGUGGGGAAUUUUGGACAAUGGGGGCAACCCUGAUCCAGCCAUGCCGCGUGCGGGAAGAAGGCCUUCGGGUUGUAAACCGCUUUUGUUCGGGAAGAAAUCCUCUGGGCUAAUACCCCGGGGGGAUGACGGUACCGGAAGAAUAACCACCGGCUAACUACGUG